ACACUGGUGCUUUAGUGGUAAAAUUCUUGCCUUCCCUGUGGGAGACCUGAGUUCCAUUCCCAGCCAAUGUA
rnacentral:tRNA from 1 species